UACGUAGGGUGCAAGCGUUGUCCGGAAUUAUUGGGCGUAAAGAGCUUGUAGGCGGUUUGUCGCGUCUGCUGUGAAAUUUCGGGGCUCAACCCCGAACUUGCAGUGGGUACGGGCAGACUAGAGUGUGGUAGGGGAGAUUGGAAUUCCUGGUGUAGCGGUGGAAUGCGCAGAUAUCAGGAGGAACACCGAUGGCGAAGGCAGAUCUCUGGGCCGUUACUGACGCUGAGGAGCGAAAGCGUGGGGAGCGAACAGG
rnacentral:rRNA from 1 species